AUUGAACGCUGGCGGCAUGCCUUACACAUGCAAGUCGAACGGCAGCGCGGGGCAACCUGGCGGCGAGUGGCGAACGGGUGAGUAACAUAUCGGAACAUACCCUAGAGUGGGGGAUAACGUAGCGAAAGUUACGCUAAUACCGCAUACGCACUAAGGUGGAAAUGGGGGAUCUUCGGACCUCAUGCUCAUGGAGUGGCCGAUAUCUGAUUAGCUAGUUGGUGAGGUAAAAGGCUCACCAAGGCGACGAUCAGUAGCUGGUUUGAGAGAACGACCAGCCACACUGGAACUGAGACACGGUCCAGACUCCUACGGGAGGCAGCAGUGGGGAAUUUUGGACAAUGGGGGGCAACCCUGAUCCAGCAAUGCCGCGUGAGU
rnacentral:rRNA from 1 species